UGUUGAAAUUUUCAUCUAUUUCUACGGUUAAAAACUGAUGUGGUUGAUAUUAUAACUAGAAAGUUAUACCAGGUGUAUAGGGACCAAUUUUUAAGAGUAGAAAUUGAUGAAAUUUUUAACU
rfam:Gossypium hirsutum cultivar TM-1 unplaced genomic scaffold scaffold1088.1, whole genome shotgun sequence